rnacentral:rRNA from 1 species
CGACGGGUGAGUAACACGUAUCCAACCUGCCGUCUACUCUUGGACAGCCUUCUGAAAGGAAGAUUAAUACAAGAUGGCAUCAUGAGUCCGCAUGUUCACAUGAAUUAAAGGUAUUCCGGUAGACGAUGGGGAUGCGUUCCAUUAGAUAGUAGGCGGGGUAACGGCCCACCUAGUCUUCGAUGGAUAGGGGUUCUGAGAGGAAGGUCCCCCACAUUGGAACUGAGACACGGUCCAA